rfam:TPA: Bos taurus chromosome 16, whole genome shotgun sequence.
GCUGGUGGCUGAAAUGGUAAAGAACCUGCCUGCAAUGCAGGAGACCCGGGUUCGAUCCCUGGGUCGGCA